CCUACGGGAGGCAGCAGUGGGGAAUAUUGGACAAUGGGCGAAAGCCUGAUCCAGCAAUGCCGCGUGAGUGAUGAAGGCCCUAGGGUUGUAAAGCUCUUUUACCCGGGAAGAUAAUGACUGUACCGGGAGAAUAAGCCCCGGCUAACUCCGUGCCAGCAGCCGCGGUAAUACGGAGGGGGCUAGCGUUGUUCGGAAUUACUGGGCGUAAAGCGCACGUAGGCGGCUUUGUAAGUCAGAGGUGAAAGCCUGGAGCUCAACUCCAGAACUGCCUUUGAGACUGCAUCGCUUGAAUCCAGGAGAGGUCAGUGGAAUUCCGAGUGUAGAGGUGAAAUUCGUAGAUAUUCGGAAGAACACCAGUGGCGAAGGCGGCUGACUGGACUGGUAUUGACGCUGAGGUGCGAAAGCGUGGGGAGCAAACAGGAUUAGAUACCCUUGUAGUC
rnacentral:rRNA from 1 species